AGAGUUUGAUCAUGGCUCAGGAUGAACGCUAGCGGCAGGCCUAACACAUGCAAGUCGAGGGGUAACAGGAAAAAGCUUGCUUUUUUGCUGACGACCGGCGCACGGGUGCGUAACGCGUAUACAAUCUACCUUUUACUGAGGGAUAGCCCAGAGAAAUUUGGAUUAACACCUCAUGGUAUCAUUAAGAGGCAUCUUUUGAUGAUUAAAGGUUACGGUAAGAGAUGAGUAUGCGUCCUAUUAGCUAGUUGGUGUGGUAACGGCACACCAAGGCGACGAUAGGUAGGGGCCCUGAGAGGGGGAUCCCCCACACUGGUACUGAGACACGGACCAGACUCCUACGGGAGGCAGCAGUGAGGAAUAUUGGACAAUGGGCGGAAGCCUGAUCCAGCCAUGCCGCGUGCAGGAAGACUGCCCUAUGGGUUGUAAACUGCUUUUAUAUAGGAAGAAACCUUCCCACGUGUGGGGAGCUGACGGUACUAUAAGAAUAAGCAUCGGCUAACUCCGUGCCAGCCGCCGCGGUAAU
rnacentral:rRNA from 1 species